AAUUGGUUGACCCUGGAGGCUGACCCCAUGAUUAAACUGGAGUGCAGCCAUCGAUUGACGGGAUUGAGUUUUACAAUGUUGCAAGUAUGAUCCUAUUUGACUAAGCCCAGUCAUUCAAGAAAAAUUCUUGUAAGAUGCUUUGACCUUGGGAUUGGCUUAUCCCCUGCCCUGUCUAUUACCACUUAUUCUCUCAUCCUAGGAUGUUUUGCAUUGCCUAAUCAUCUAAGAAAGAGACGUACUUAUCCUUGUCAUCCUAACUGCUUUUCAAGUUGCCGUUCUGUCUCCCAAGAUCAUGAAUCUAUAAUAUCAACUGACAAAUAUUCGAUGCCAACUCAACAAAGAAACUGA